UUGACUUGAGGAAGGUAGGGGAGAAUGGAAUUCCUGGUGGAGCGGUGGAAUGCGCAGAUAUCAGGAGGAACACCAGUGGCGAAGGCGGUUCUCUGGGCCUUUCCUGACGCUGAGGAGCGAAAGCGUGGGGAGCGAACAGGCUUAGAUACCCUGGUAGUCCACGCUGUAAACGGUGGGUACUAGGUGUGGGGUCCUUCCAGGGUUCCGUGCCGUAGCUAACGCUUUAAGUACCCCGCCUGGGGAGUACGGCCGCAAGGCUAAAACUCAAAGGAAUUGACGGGGCCCCGCACAAGCGGCGGAGCAUGCGGAUUAAUUCGAUGCAACGCGUAGAACCUUACCUGGGUUUGACAUGAUCGGGAGUGCUCAGAGAUGGGUGUGCCUCUUUUGGGGUCGGUUCACAGGUGGUGCAUGGCUGUCGUCAGCUCGUGUCGUGAGAUGUUGGGUUAAGUCCCGCAACGAGCGCAACCCUUGUUCACUGUUGCCAGCACGUUAUGGUGGGGACUCAGUGGAGACCGCCGGGGUCAACUCGGAGGAAGGUGGGGAUGACGUCAAGUCAUCAUGCCCCUUAUGUCCAGGGCUUCACGCAUGCUACAAUGGCUGGUACAGAGAGUGGCGAGCCUGUGAGGGUGAGCGAAUCUCGGAAAGCCGGUCUCAGUUCGGAUUGGGGUCUGCAACUCGACCUCAUGAAGUCGGAGUCGCUAGUAAUCGCAGAUCAGCACGCUGCGGUGAAUACGUUCCCGGGGCUGU
rnacentral:rRNA from 1 species